AGGAAGCACGCCAGAGCUUGCAUGGUGGAGUGGUCUACAUUCUAGAACUACUCCUUCCUUUGCAAAAAGAAGUUCCUCUACAGCAAAGAGUGGUAGCUGCCUCAUUACUGGGGAAGCUUGUUGGGCAGCCAAUCCAUGGUCCUAGAGUGGC